rnacentral:tRNA from 2 species
GACUCGUUAGCUCAGCCGGUAGAGCACAUGACUUUUAAUCAUGGGGCCAUGAGUUCAAAUCUCAUACGAGUCACCA